rnacentral:lncRNA from 13 species
ACAUUGCUGCAACGUUGCAACAAUAUUGUUGCAAGUUUUGUGCUGUAUGGAGAGCAACAAAACUUGAACGAGAAGACAAACUCCUUGGAGCAACUCAUGAAUCAACUGGAACAAAAAUAUAGAAGCAGUAGCAGCAAUAUCAGUGGCAAUAUAAUAACUACAACCCGUAAUAUGAAAUCUGCUUUGAAGUGAAUAAAAAUUUGGAGCAGCAGACAAAUCGCAGAAUAAAAUAUGAAAAUGCAAUGUUGCAUUUUCAAGACUACUAUUUGCUAAAUCUUGUAUGAAAGAUUCUUUCGAUAAUUAAUCUACGUGCGAUCGUAAUUAUUAAUAUUUUUUUAGUUUCAAUUUCGGGAGUGCCGUAUAAAGUGUUACAUGAACCUAAUAGCAUAUUUAGUCUAAUUAGCAAAUAAUUGUGUUCUUUUCAUGUUUUUGAGUGAAAUUAUUGUCUAGCAAAGGGAGACAAUCAUUAUCCCUUAUGUCAGAUGGGUGAACGCAUUUGUAUUGACUAAAAGUUGUAAUAAUUUUUAUUGAAGAAAAAGAGAGUUAUUUCUCGUCAGUUUUUACAAGUUCCAUCUAGUCUAGUUUGGUGUCUCAUUGAAAGCUGAAGGUUCCGUUUGCAGGACUAAAAUUAAACAGGAGUUUUUUCGACGGUUUUCGAAACUGAUUGUGGCAAUAAAUCAACGACUAUCAUUCGAAUUCCACGGUCAAGCCGCGAAGUAUAUU